GGAUGGUGCCAGCAUCAUGGCUUCUGAACUGCUGUUUUAGGGAGAUUUGUGAUGAGCCAGAGGGUAGGACUGGACAAACUUCAAGACCCAGACCAGAUCCAUAGUGACCACGAUGGUUUCUCCUGAAGCAGCCCUGAAACCGAAGUCUCCUGGUGGCCAGAUGAUCAGCCUUCAAAACUGUGCAACGGUGAUUGGGCAUGAAUCCUGUAAGUGCCAAUAAUGUGUGAAGUCUGUGUUCAGUGCCCCAGGGCUGCAUUGUGCCUCGAAAGAGUCAGCCUGGAUUCGUGGCUUGAGGUGGAAGCCAAAGUGACUGCAGCCACUUAUACGAGGUGGACUGACCUGCUGCUCUGGUGCCCUUCCCUGGGCACCCAGCCCUGCUGGGUGGUCUCUGUCCUGACCCAGGACCUGUGAUUGACGUGAAGGGGUGGAAGCCAAAGAGCUGCGGACAAAUGGUUUGCCUUGGCCCCGCUUGCUCAGAGAGCAUGGAACACAUCUGGAGGGGGUCCUGCUGCUCUCCGUCUGCAGUCUUACCCUAAGGAUCUCAUGGAUGAAGGAAUCUGGAAGAAAACAUUUCUAAGGAGGAGAGGAGGAACCAGUGCCUUCUAGACCGAGAGGAGCAAAGAGGGUGAUUUUCUCCACUGGAGGAGUUCACUAAUUCAUCAGGAACCAGGAGCUGCCCAGUAGUCAGUCCUCUGCACUUUACAAAAUGCUUUUCUUGAGUUGUCUGUUCACACGUGUGCUUCUGCAAUGAGGAACUAUACACAAAGCUGUGGGCAAACAGAUGGAGGGGCUGAGUCAGUCUGGAGGGAUCAGCGAAGACUUCACAGAGGAGGUGACAUAUUGCUGUGUCUUAAAGCCUAAGAAGAAAGGAAGACAUGAUCCAGGCAGAGGGAACAGCAUGUACAGACGCAAGGAGGCAUUGCUAAUCAACCACAGCAUCAUCCUCAUGCUACAAUCGAAGAAACAGAAAGGGAUGGAAAUGUGGGCCCAGGACCCACCAAGUUAGGAAGCAAUGGAGCCAGGCCUGGUGUCCGCAACCAGACAGAUGCGACGAGCUUGAGGUUCAGACAAACACGGGAAGCUGUGCUCGGCAUGCAGAGAAUUCUCAGCCCCUGUGCAAGAGGCAAGCAACACUGUGACCCGUGAGUCCUGGGGCAUAACCAGAAGGGCCCGAUAAUGGAAUUGAAGAAAUCUGAAUGAAUCGUCUGAUGUGUCAUGACUAAGCCUGCAAUGUGCCAAGUGUCCCCCAGGAGAGGCCCUUGGAUAGCAGACUGGAGCACCACAAUUACGCGUUGGAGACCAUUUCCAGAGAGAGCCACCGACGUCAGUGGCUCUGAGUUCUAGAAGCUCUUGGAGGGUUUGAGGAAUUGUCCCGUGGAUUUGUGGCACCAGGCUCUCAGCGUGAGACUGAGGGGUGGUGGUGCAGCUCGCUAGUCCAGCUCUGGUGGUGGAUGGAUCUCCCAGUGCAUGCAGCCUGCUUCACUUCUGGGCAGUUUUAAUUACUCUCUAGUUCUUUUACUGAUCCCAUCUUGACCUCCCAGAUCUGUGUCUUGCUCUUUGUUUAAGCUUCUGGAGCCUUGUAGGCUCAUUCUCAUUUCAUUUCCACUGACACUCAAGUGUGUUCAGGGAGCCCUUAAGCAUUUCUUGUUCUGCCUCCACUCCCCUUCUGCCUCCUUACCACAUCUAUUCUUCUCCAGGGAGAAUAUUCUCAAUUUUAUUGACUGUUCUUCUGGUGGUUUUAUGGGUAGGUGCCUUUACCAUCUGGAUCAAUGGAUAUGAGAUUUAUUAAUAUUUAUAUCUUACUUGACAUGGACUCCUUAGAAAUCUGGUACUCAUAUAGAUGAUGGUAGCCAAAAGCUUUUAAUGGGCUUGAGC
ensembl:lncRNA